UAGCUCAUCACCUACAACACACACAAUCAAGAUCGUCUCUGAAGAACUUCUUGUACAGGUCACAUGAUCCAGAACUUCUGCAAUGCCAUGUGGAUUAGUGGUUCUUCGGUGAGACCGAGCAGGAGACGCAUCACCGCAGGGAGAAAACAAAGAUAAAGCUGAGACAGAGCCCUAAGUGACAGACAUAUCUACCUCUUGUGUCAACGCCCCUCCAGCUAUCUUCUGAAGGUUGGAUUUCACAUGCAAAAUCAUUUUACCCAAAAUUGGGGCGCUUUCAUCCAAUUCCCACAAGCGAGGAGACGCACAACACUGGGAGGGAGAAAGGCACAAAGGCA